AUGCGGCGCCGGCGCUCUCCUCUGGCGGCGCUGUGGCUCGCGGCGGCGUGGGCUCUGCAGCUGCUCGCGGGCGCCGGGGCCGCGAACCCGACGUGGUGCAUCGUGCGCACCGGGGCGCCGGUGAGGACGGUGCAGGCGGCGCUGGACUACGCGUGCAGCCCCGCGGGCGGCGCCGACUGCGCGCCCAUCCAGCCCAGCGCCCUCUGCUACCUCCCCAACACCCUCGCCGCGCACGCCUCCUACGCCUUCAACUCCGUCUACCAGCGCUCCCACGCCGCCCCCGGCGCCUGCGACUUCGCCGGCACCGCCACCGUCACGCUCACCGACCCCAGUUAUGGAUCAUGCACCUUCCCUGCAUCUCCAGGCGCAGCUGGGUCACCCGGUUCAGCCACGUCUACAUCUCGACCACCGCCGGGCAACCGCAAGCCUGACCUUGGAUCAGACGACGACGAUUCCGAUGCCGAUGAGGCUCACGUUGCCACCGCCAAUGCACCCUUGAUGUCUCUUGCCCUGUCAUGUUUCGUGUACCUGCACCUGCGUUGGUGGUGA
rnacentral:rRNA from 1 species